rnacentral:rRNA from 1 species
CUACGGAGGGUCCAAGCGUUAUCCGGAAUCAUUGGGUUUAAAGGGUUCGUAGGCGGGUCAAUAAGUCAGAGGUGAAAUCUUGCAGCUUAACUGUAAAAUUGCCUUUGAAACUGUUGACCUUGAAUUACUGUGAAGUGGUUAGAAUAUGUAGUGUAGCGGUGAAAUGCUUAGAGAUUACAUAGAAUACCGAUUGCGAAGGCAGAUCACUAACAGUAUAUUGACGCUGAUGAACGAAAGCGUGGGUAGCGAACGGGAUUAGAAACCCUGGUAGUCC